UGGGGAAUUGUUCGCAAUGGGCGCAAGCCUGACGACGCAACGCCGCGUGGAGGAUGAAGAAUUUCGGUUCGUAAACUCCUGUCGAGCGGGACGAAAGAUGCGCGGGUUAAUACCCCGCGCAAGUGACGGUACCGCUAAAGGAAGCCCCGGCUAACUCCGUGCCAGCAGCCGCGGUAAGACGGAGGGGGCAAGCGUUGUUCGGAAUCAUUGGGCGUAAAGGGCUCGUAGGCGGACUAGCAAGUCUGGCGUGAAAUCUCCACCGCUCACCGGGGAGAGGUCGCUGGAUACUACUAGUCUUGAGUUCGGUAGAGGGUCGUGGAAUUUCGGGUGUAGCGGUGGAAUGCGUAGAUAUCCGAAAGAACACCGGUGGCGAAGGCGGCGACCUGGGCCUGAACUGACGCUGAGGAGCGAAAGCUAGGGGAGCAAA
rnacentral:rRNA from 1 species